UAUCUCCCUCCUUUAGGAGGUGGUUUAAUUUUCUUUUGGGUGAGUCGUGGAUCCCCAAAGAAAGAAAAUGCCGGUAAAAAGGCCAAGCUGACCCAGCCCUCAUUACUCUUCGAAGGCAGCAGUGUGCAGGGGGCAGGGUAGGGAGCAAAUUGCUUGCUAGGAGUAGAAGAUCUGUUCACUAAAGUAUUCAAUAUUGCCAGGCACCUCUCAUCCUUAAAUGCAGGCAGAAGUGCAAUGCGAGACCUUAACCAGGUGCAGCAUUCCCACAGCAUCCCGGGUCAAUCCUCACAAGCAGUCCCUAAGCAAGGUAAGCUCAGAAAGGUGGACAAAAAAGGAUGCUUACAGAUUUCCCUUUUGUAGUUCCCUAGAUUUUUAAGACUGUACUUGCAAAGGAGGACAUUUACAAAAUAAAAGGAAAUGAAAUAAACAAACCCAUGCCAUCUCAAAAGCCAGGUCAGUUUAGCCAACCUGAUUGACACUGCAGCUUAACAAAACCAGAAUUCAGCUGUACUGGGACUUCACGUUACUCGCUUCUGCUGCUCUGAAAAGGGCUAAAAGCAGAAAUUGCUUAUAGAAUCUGCUCCUCUAAGGUGGAAGAAAAGCUGCUCACAAUGCUAACAAUGAUCAGCUAGCUGCCUUGAACUCAUUGGGAUCAGAGUUUGAACACUAUUUUAAUAGAGAUAAAAAAGAUGGUCUCUGGUUUUGUUGCCGUCCUGAUUCAGCCAAUGAGUCAGUCAUCCCUAAGUUGCAACAGGGGCCUUCAUCCUUCACCUGCCCAGGAUCUUCUGUGUAAGCAGCUGCGUUUGUAAAACUAUUCUGAAUCUAAAUGACCUUACAGAUAGCUGGAAAUUCGCACAUCUAACUGUGGCCGGUGUGAUGUUAAAACCAAGCUGGUCAGAAGCACUGCAGACAACCAAAGGCAUCUCGAUCUGACUGCAGUGCAAGAGAGCUUGGAGGAGCACUGAUGGGGACCGUGCCGCCGCUGACCCUGGCACCAUGUGCUAACCUCUACCUCACUGUCUGCUCAGUCUGGGCUUCCACUUCCUCUGGGAGAAUGGUCAUCGGCCGGGGCCAGAAGCCAAGAGGAUUUGGAUAUCCAGCACUAUCUAGCUCUUUUGCAACUCUAAGAUUCUGUUUCUCAAUAUUGCAAGGAUUGUUUGCUAAAUGAAAUAAUCCCUCUAACUGAAAAGAAAAUCAUUAUGUAAAAAACAGAAAUAAGGUAAGCAUCCUUUACAUGCCUUGUUACCAUGCAGCAAUUAACUGGACCACUAAGGGUUAAUUCUGAUCCUGAGUGGGCCCAAUCAGGUUUGUUUCUGCCAUCUUAUUAGGUUAAAUAAAUAGAAACUUCUUGCAAUAUCCAUCCACAAUGAUAAGCAAUUCCCACUAUAAUGGAUGGCUAAUAUAUAAAUUCAGCCCACAUCAGUUUUGUGUCAACUAGCAAAAACAGAAACAAUGGAAACUAGACAGCCAUGCCUCCGCAUAGGUCAACAACCAAGGUUAUCUGUAUUCAAUUACUGGUAUCUGCAAACUUGCAUACUGUCAGCUGAUCGUAGACUAAAUGAAAACUUAUCAUGCACAGAGGCAGCAAAUACAUUUAUUUGAAGCAGGCAUCAUAUUAGUUCACUGGUUUGACUGUGGUUAAGGGAAAAAAGGGGGUUAUCAGUCUUUUGGGAAAUUCUUUCAAAUAUAACCUGCAGCAAAUAUCUAAAAUUGGGGAUUAUCUAUGUUAUAAAUCUUUGUUCAAAAAGUAGAAAAGGAACAGAAAUUGCUCCGUAGCCCUCUAAGACGAUAAAUUAUAUUAUUUAACAAUAGAUAAACUUAGGGCACCUUUCCUGUGGAGCAGCCCUAUUGUGAAUUCGGCUUUAAUCUGCUUCACCUUAACAUCUGUUCAGUGGAACCAAAGAUUUGGCUGUUUCGGACGCAGACAAUAAUUUGUUUGUUAACCGCUUCGCUGGAACAAUACAUCAUUGCAGAAAACAAAGCCUACCAACACAACGCGUUUUUAUCUGUUUCCUCUAUCUGUGUUCCUUUUUCCACAAGUGCAAGUUCAGGUUUUUGAACUGUUUUCCUAGUGAUAAUUUGUGAUGCUGUGAGUUUCAUAACCCUGGAAAAACAUUUUUUUUUUCAACCUCCUAUUUCAUCUUUGACCAACAGAUGUUCUGUUCAAAACGUGUAAGUACUCAUGAGGUACGUACCAGCAAAUUAUAAUUGCUAACGCCCCUGUGGAAGGAAAAUGUCAAUAAAUAUUUGUUAUCACUGGCCUGUUUGGAAACAAAGGCAUUUGCUUAACAGAAGUUCACGUGCCAAACCUUUUUAUGCAUCUUUUCCAGCAGUCCAUUCAAUUAGACAUCUAACAUUUUGUUUCUUUUCAGAAGAGGAAGUGAAAAUAACCUCACAGAAUCAAAAAUAAAGCAUAAAAGCAUGAGGGCAUCCUGUAUUCCAUAAUCCAUAAAGUGCAAAAUAGCACUUUAGCUCCUUUCAGGGAUCUGAAUGCGGCCACAGAGCUGAGCUGUGAUCCAGCUCCAGCACUUCACCACUGCACACCAAAGCAGCAAUCAAGGGUAGAAAUCUAAAUGCAUGGCACCGUAAUGCAGAGAAAUGCCCCAUUAACAUGUGACUGCUGACAACUGCAAUCCAUACCUAUGGAUAAUCUCCCCUGGCCAAAUGACUAAAAUCUUAGUCAUUGCAGACUUAACUGCAACUCCUCUAGCGAGACAUACAGAGUAUGCUUAGUUCUGACUUCUCCCCAUGUCAGUGUAGUCUGGACUCAUCCUGCUACUGGAGGAGGAGGUAAAACUUACUUUCUAGAUGACUGAAAAAAGCAAAUGCUAUCAUUUUCAUACCUGGGUGCUAAGCUGCUAGAGGCAUUCAGAACUGUCAUGCAGAAAUAACAGAAAAACUUACUUAUGCCACCAGUGCAGCAAAGUAGUUAACACAUCCUUGCACUGUGCCACCCACUUCAAUCUGCUUCUUCUCGAGCUCUUACAUCUCCCUCAUUUUAUCUCCGGGUGUUUCUGAAGCUGUAGUUCUAUUCUAAACACUAGGACUAACAUCUAACACAUGCUGUGAUGAUUUGACAAAUCAGCCUCUGCACCACUAAAAUGAAUGCUGUUUUACAGCGUGGACAGCUUGUGUUUGUUUCAGCCAGCGCACCCCACGGGGGCUGGAGCUUCCUUGCCUUCUCCAUGGCUUUUUGUCCUCUUGUUGAUGCAAAGAGCAAAGGAAUUGCAGGGUGCAUCCAUUCACCUGGCUACAGUGGAGCAUCCUUAAAAUGCAAGAAACUAGCUAUUCUAAUGAGACAGAAAUGGCUGCCACCCAAGGCAGGGGAAUUUUUCCAAGUCUGAACUCUAUGCAGGAAGCAACUUCUCAGUAGCUGCUUGUUUUAUGGAUUCAUUUGAGGAGCUGAUAAAGUUGAUAAGAGGGCUCCUGAGGUGUUUCACAAAUCAGGAAGACAGGGAUCUGCAUUUCUGAGAAGUCAUAUGCAGGAGUUUGGGUCUAGAAGAACUGUGACCUACUUAGAAGACUCUGACUUAAGCCCCAAAUAAUUCUCUUGCUCAAGCACGAAUUACAAGCAGCUGAAGAAAGAUGAGCUUUCGCACUUGCGAUGCAGCCAACUUUGCCCACAUCUAAUGAGGAAAAGUAGGACUCGGUGCCAUUUUGUAUUCCCGUGAUGUGGUGCAGAUGGAGGCUCGGCACACGCUCCUCUGUCUCCCCUUGCAAAGCGCAGAGCUGGAAAGCAUCAGGUUGGAGAGCAGAGGAAGUGGUGGCUGUGAGAAGCUGCCUCACCCAUGGGAGCGGAGUCGGCAGCAGCUCUGGUGACUGGAGAUGGCUGAACUGGAGGAAAAUAUUAAACGGCCCAUGGCCAAAAGCUUGGGGAGUAGAGCAGCAGCCAUGCGUGGAGGGAGGGGAAAGGCUGAGCCAUCACACCUCAGCUUAACCAGCCUCGGCAGAGGCAGAGAGAGUGGCACACAGGGGCUGGCCUCAGCCCUGAGCUGGAUGCAGGCCGCGUUUGUGUGCCAGGCCCAGGCCCUGCCUGCAGCCACGUGGACCUGCGUCCCAUGGACGGAGCGCUGCAGUGAGCCAGCCUUCUGAUGCAAGAUGGGAACACAGCUGGGCUGGGCACCGCUGUGGGAUUAUGAACUAAAAAAUAAUGGAAAAAGGCCCGUGGGGAAAGGGAAUGCAACUGAUGGGAGAAACAUCAGAAGAGAUGGGGAGGAUGCAUUCUCUGUUCAUGCUUUAACCACGGGGCUGUGGAUGUGAGUGAGGCUCCUGAGUUCUGUCAUGGAGGCCACGCUGGGCUGCCCGGGUGCGCAGGCUGACAGUGCACAACACUACCUGCUCACUGGGUCAGGGCUGCCCUGUGCUGCAGGCAGGGUUUUGUUCAGCAAGAGAAAGGUUUUCUACAUAAAAGGCCUUAUAUUCAAAAGACACCAUUUCAACUUGGCCGCAGCAGCAUUGCGAAUGCAUACUGGGGAACAGGAAAAGUCCACGGGGCGGCUUUUGUCAGAAAACAGUUUCUGGAAAAAAUUAAAGUUCUCUUGAGGCAUGUAGAAAAAUUCCAGGACACUGUAUUAUUAUUGUUGUUAUUAUUACCCUUGAUCUUUUGGAAGGUGGAGAGGGAGCACAUGCCGUUUUAAAGAAAGAAGACAGGACAUCUGCAGCCUUUAAAAAGCAAAGCACAAAGGCUGCUGGGCUCUCCUUACAGCAUUUUUAAUUAUCUUCCUUAAGUUUCCCAAAUAAAAACACAUCACAUUGAGCCUCACCCAAUAAAGCUAUGUGGGUAAAUACAAUACCCAUUGUCUAAUCAAUAUCAUAUUGCUCAUGGCUUUAGCUCGUUCAAUAUCUGAGAUCAUUGCCUUCCUACUCACACCUACGGAUGCCAAUAUCUGCUUAAUGUUGGACAAACUGCAGUUGUCAUUCCCUGUAACGGAGUUCUUUAAUCUCAUUAAUAACCUACAGAUACCAAAGUGCAGCUUCAAGUAAAGCUGGCUGGAGCAUGCCAGGUUUCCAGAGUUUCAUCUCUGAGGUGGGGUGGGUUAAAGAGCCCUGGUCCUGGUGGGGCUGCAGCCGCUGCCCCACUGCUGCUGUGCUAGGGCACCCAUGAACAAUUUUUUUUUUUUUUAAGUCAAACGCAGAGAGUGAAGAGGUAUGGAGAGAGUGAUGGCUAUGAGCCCAGCCAGAUGCCGUGACUAGGACACAGCGUAUGAUGGAAGCACAUCCUCCAAAAUACUCCUUCUGGGAAGCACUCUGCACGCAGGCAUGCCACAGUGCCCACCCAUCAUCCCCACUGUAACACGGGCAAGCAGGGCGAGAACGCAAGCAAAGGGCAGCAGCGAGAAUGCGCCUGGCCCGAGGCCUGUCCCUGUCCCAGCAGCGCAUCCCUGAGCCCCGCAGCCCCGCGCAGCUGUCCGGGCGCGCUGCCGCCACGUCCAAGCUCUGCACGGCUCUGGGGAGCCCAAAAUGUAUCGUGAAAUAAAAACAGCUGCGAGGGAAACUCAUAUGACUAGGAUAGGUGCCAUCUAGCAAUUAACAGCCAGAAGUUUUGAUCUGGAAAAUCACAUUUAUUUUAAUUGCUUCGCUGUUGUGUUCAUAAAGAAUUUGGCUCAUUUUAGUAUUUUCCUUAUUAGAUAUACGAUUUAACUUUGGAACAAUGUAGUCAUUAGUUCCAUUGUUCCAGAUUUUUCAUCACGGGGAAAUGAAUGAUGGAGACGUGUUCUGCAAGGAAGAUUGUUUAUAAAUAUUUAUCCUCCUCUUAACAGAUAUUUCUGUAAUCCAGCUGAAUUUUCUAGCACAGAAUUCAACAGUUGUUAAUCUGGCGCAUGGCGAGCGGCACAUUUCCUAACCUCUGAGUUCAGCGAGCGAUCUUAUCAAAAGAACCAAGCAAAAGAAGGCUUUUGUUUUAUGAUUAUUUCCUUCGCAAGACCCAAUUCUUUCCAUUCCCUUCAGUGGGAAGAUGCCACCACCACUGCCGUCCACUGACCCCACGGUAGGCACUGCCCUCUGUGCCAUGGGCAGGAUCAGGCCCUUCACAUGGGGCUGGGAGGGGAGCCAUAAAAAAAUGCAUGGGCCUUUCUGCUGGGAACGAGGCUGCUCAGCUGAAAGGAAAUGGGAGGUGAAAAAUGGAAUUUGGCAGUUGUGCACCGCUCCACCAUUUGGUGCUUGUUGUGGGACUCCAGCAAAAGGGAGCUAUCACUACGGGCAUAAUUUACUUGAUUUUAAGGAUCUGUAUGAAUUCUGGCACCAGACCAAGUAGCCAUUAGCUAUGAGGAGUGCUUCCCAAUGCUCAUUUGUUUUCCAUGUGUGAAUUUUCGCUCAUCUCAUUCUUUAGAAAAAAAUUUUUCUUCAUCAAUUCCAUGUGGAAAAUACAACAAAAAUCCAGAUAAUUAAUUAAUUCAAGAAACACAACAGUUUUUGUUUUUUUAAAUGGAAAACUGCUAGUUCUGGAAUCAGACUGUCAGCCUGCUUUGAUUUCUGAUAUCUUAAAGCUAAGUGUUAUAAAAUGAUACGGUUGUUCACAUGCUCCAGGUUAGGCUUUUGGGCAAAUUAUCCUAAAUAAGGUAACUCAAUAGCUAGGUAGGCAGACUUUAAUGCUAUUACUAUUAGGAAAAUAUCAUUAAUAUGAGACAUAUGCGGGCCACUAUUGCAUCAGCAGGGCCUCGCUCAGGCAAUGUGGGAGCAGUGCUGUGGAUUGCAGCAGCAGUGCUGGGCCUUCAAACGUAACGUGCCUUGGUCUUGAGGUCAAAAUCUGUUAAUGCAAUUUUGAGUAUAAGAACAAGAAUUUAAAAUCCAUGUGGUUUUAAUGCCACGUUCUGAGAUGGGGGGGCAGGGUUUGUUGUGUUUCUUUAUUUGGCCUGCCGUGAACUCCUUCAAAAUCUGUGUGUGUCACAUUAAGACUCAUUUGUGAGAUGUGAUGAACGAAACAAAAUCUCGUUCCAUUUCUUUGUUCAAAAAGUUUGAUUUUGGUUGUGUUUCAAAUUAUAAGGAUCAUCAUUGGUAAUUUGCAUUUACUUCUCAUUGAAGCAUUACACAAUAAACCGAAACUGUGUGUCAGAUGUACUGCUCCCACAUAAGUGCGCUGAGAUAAAGUGAGACCUCUAAGAGGAUGCCUGCCUUUACAACGAGCGUUCCCAUUUCAAACAAUUAAUAUGUUUGGAUUUCUUCAUUUUUGUGGUCUCGUAGCACAACUUACAGCUAAAGCACUGUGUUGAACACGCAUAUUUUGGAGUGAGCUCUACUCUGUGUCUAUUUAACAGCUACUCACAGCUGUCUCUGCUUUAAACAUAUUGGGAUAACAUUUCAUUACAAAGCCUUGAUGCAAAAAGAAAGGGAAAAUGGAUGCAGGAGGGAGGGCAGAGGGUGAGUGUGCAUGGCCAGCACCUCAUGCAGCAGGCAUGCUGGCAGCAGCGGGGGUGAGUGGGGAGAGGGCAGGGGCGUCCUCAACCCGGGCACUGCGGGCACGGUGGGCCGUGCAUCCUGAGCUGCUGCUGGUUUGGCUGUGGAAAGCACACCUGCUGCCCUCAGAUCUUAGCAUGGAGGAGGGAAAGCUCCCAUUCAUUUCUCUGAGCGCUAAGACACAGAGAAGUGGCUCAGCGGUACAGCAAGCACAGAGCAAGCAGCAGUGACAGUGACAGGAAGGUACUGUCCCGCUGGGUACUGGCCACCACCUGACUGCCAUGCAGAAACAGCUCUGCUGGUGCCUGCAGGAGACUGGUUUUAAUGUGGCAUAUCUGCUCAACAGCUUUGCUGAUCAUGCUGCUGCUACAUGUGCGCAUUUUAAAUAUACUCUUAAAUUUACUUUGAGGACUUCCUUUGACCUCCCAUAGCAGAUGUGGGAACCCGCCAGCCUUGAGCUGCACACAGAGUACAGUGCAGCUCCUGCUGCCUGUGUCCCCCAGCUCCCAUACGCGGCUUUGUUCUGCAGGCAGGGCUCCCACCAUUCGCCCUGCACAUUGCUGUGUAAACCAGUGUCACCUGCUGUGCCCCUACAAGUCCAUGAGCCAUGGCAGUGCCACAGCCCUGGACAAGGCCUUCACUCCAGCAACACUCUGUGAUCUAACAUACAGAUGUACUGAAAUGUCUUUAUGUAGAGACACGUGAUGCACACACACACAUACCUUUGUCUCCUUAUCCAUCUCUCUGUAUAAAGAUAUACACAAAGAGCACAGUAACACUGUGUGAUAGAGCAGAUUACCUGCAACAAAUGCUAUUCAACACAGUCACCACCAUUAGCUCUGCAUUUUCACCAGCAAUGAACAAGAGCCCACAUGCUACACUUGUACUAAUCUGCACCAGCAGAGGUGACCACUGUCCCUGCCCACCACUUCACUGCACUCACAUCCACUGGCUGGUCUCCAUAAAUGUCCAGCAAGAGUCAAUGAAUGUCAGUGAUGCCUUUUUUUUUUAACUUACCUGUUCCUGGGGAUUCUCCCUUGAGCUCUGCACCUGAUGGAGGUGUUACUGUGGUCAGGCUCUGCUUUCACUGCACCCAUGGUCAGCCUUGCUGAGUGCACCUUCGGUGCUUCUACUGCGAACAUCUCUCACUUCAAUCUCCAUGGCUGCAGAAUCCUUUUUCUAAAAUUUAAAUUAUAACCCCAGCAAUUAUGAUAUGAACUUAAACUCUUAUACUGACUUACAGCCUGAGUGUGUCAUGAUGCCACCAGCAAGGCAGCCAUGCACAGGCCUUGCAGCAAGCAGCCCCACGUGCCAAUGAGGACUGGCAUGGCACUGGCUCUGCUACCUAUAGGCACAACUUUACAUAAAGAAAGUAGAACAUUUUUAAGAAACAACAUCUCCUUUUCACUUUCUCAGUGAACUCAUGUCUGUUUUAUGGUGCAGCAGGCCUGGAUUUGCAAGGCUUCAGCCUUCUGGUUUGCAGUACCAGAAACAUACUACUAUCUGUGCGAAUAAAGCAUUUUCUCCAAGAACACGCCUAAUAGUUUGAGUCAGCCUACCAGAUGGGUUGUAAAACACUUUGAAACAACACCACUCGAAGGAUAUUAUACUCCUGGAGCUGUAUGUUUGGUUUAUUAUAAACAGAGCUUUCUAAGUAAAAAACAUAGAAAUGCUGUCUACUUCUGAAGCAAUCUGACAUGUGGAGCUGCUCUAGAUCUCUGCAGAAACAGAACUGAAUUUAUCACUCUCCCUAAAUAUCAAAGGGUCCCGAGAAGCAGCCGUAUCACUUUGGGUCUUUGUAACUGGAAGGCAGUGCGGGUGACUGACAAGCCCACAUACUUUUAAUUUAUCAGCACUCGGCAGCCUCCCUGCCGUGAGCCAGCUCCAGAUCUUCCUGAGUGAGCUCCUGCUCCUCAGCAGCACUGCAGGACAGCAUCCCGGUCCAUAGGGCAGCAGUUUGCCCUUUUUGUCCCCAGACGUGGCCCCAGGAUGGUCCAUGUCCACCAUGUCCAUCCCCACUGCCAGAGGUGAUGCCCACACAACAGCCCUGACUGCUCCCCUCCCUCCCAGCUCACACCCUGGGGAUGCUCACUCCUCACUCACAGCCCAACCCAGGACUCCCAGUGACCAGACCAGCCAGGUGGCACACAGUGUGGCAGAGGCAGUGAAGCCAGGGAUGUGCUCCUGGUGCCACCCACUGACAGAGGCCAAACCUGAAGAACUGGACCUGGCUGCGUCCUGACCCACGUCCUCACCGGCACCGUGGCCACCCCAUUUCAGAUCCUGCCUCAUCAGUCACACCUCACUGCGUGACCUUUCCAUUGUAAAAUGGUCCUCUGGGACUGGCUCUGUAGACAAGGCCAUUGUGUCUCCCUAGUAGCUGGGAGAAGAUCAAGUCAGUGAGUUUCUGUACCAUGGAAGAACCAGCAGUGGCUUAGGGGCUCAUUUUUAUCUCCAAGUCAGUGGUAACAUCUUCCACCAUCUCACAUUUAGGUUGGCUUCCAUAUUGGCAAGGCUCAGGAGACCUGGGAAGGGCAGUGAAGCACUGUGGCCAACACUUACCAUUUCCAGUCACUGUUUCACUCUUUUUUCGGAGCCUGAGACACUGUGAUUGUCCUGUAAAACACAAUUAGUGCCUGCAUUAUGAUUUGUUAACAUCACCCAGAAGAGAAAAGCUAAGCGGAUUUUUAAUCUGAAUUUGUACAGGCUUUUCUGUCGUUCUUUAAGCAGCUCCGUUAUUAUUUUUCCCAUAAUUUGUAUAAAGUACUUAGCAUUCAAAACAGAGCCUUUUUAACCUUUUGCCCAACUUAGCUUUAUGUACUUUAAAAAAAAAGAAGGGGGGCGGGGGGGACUGGAGAUGGAGAGGGAGAGAAACCCUUUAAGUGCCCUGGGCCUGGGUUCCUUCAGUGUGCAGGCUGUAAAUGUUUUACUUUGAUUUGAGAUACAUGACAAUAAAUUAGGGGACAUUUAUCAAAGCUGCUUUGUUGCAUUGCUGACAAAAGCUGCUUUUUGCAUAAAUUACUGCAUUAUACAAAUACACUUAGCAGGAUCCUGCUUCUUUGAUGUUAGUGGAGGAGAUUUAUGUCCAAUGGAGUUUUUAUUUAUCUGCCCUGUUCACCUCAACAAGGGCAGGACAUAUUCCUCAAUUAGUUCCAUACCCCUAGAAAUGACAUAUAUAUCUCACAACUAAAAACAGAGAAAUUUAAACAAAACAACACAAAAAAAGCAAGUGCACUUUUUCUGGCAAGUCUAAACUACCGUACGGCGUAAAAAGUAAAUAUUAGGCUGGCGCUCUGCCUUUGAAAUCUUUGUUCUGAGAUGACUUUGAAAACUAUUUAAGUAAGCUAAUUUUUACAAAACAAUAUUCCCUUUGCAGAAAAGCUUUUCUAGACUUCAUUAAGGGACUAAGUAAAUAUGAGUCCACUUCAACAAAUACUUGGUAUCCAAAUAAGUAGGUUAAAAGAACAGAUUCCCUGUGUGUAAUCCUCUGUGGAACCGUAUUUAUGCUAAAAUCUCUUUCGAUGAAUAUCUAAUAAACCAAUGACGGGCACUGUAGGCAAAGCGGUGAAUUAAGAUGGUUAAAAAGGAACUCGUCCAAUGAAUAAAUUGGCUGAACAGUCACUUUUCUUAAGUGAACACAGAAUCUCUUGAACACAAUUUGGAGCGCCAUUCUUCUGCCACUCACCAUCUCCAGCCCUCAGCUCACAGGUAAUUUAUUUUGUCACUGGGUCACCGGUUCAUGCAGCCCUACGUGGCAACAUGGAGUUGUUACCAUACGAUAGCCUGAAAUAAUUCCGCACAACUCCUUUCUGUCCCGGAUUUAAAAGCAAAAAGGAGACAAAGCAACCUGCAAAGGCAGGGGCUCAGCAGAGGGAGCUGAGUGGUGGGGACCACAGUGGCUUCACAGUGCUGCUCCUGGGAUUCUCUAGCAGUACCCAAGUCAAUGGGCCAUCCGUUGUCCUUAGUGGGAGCAAAACCCAAAUUUCCCACUGCCCUCCCAUCACACACACAGUAACGCGCAUCACUCAUUGGUUUGUUUCUUAAUCACCUCUGAGCAAGAGCACGCAGAGGAGAGCGCCUGAGGAGGACACGGCCAGCCAGGCACAGCCCAUGCUGCCAGGCUGCUGCGUGCCCUGACGCCCAGCCCAGAGAGAGAAGGAAGGCAAGCUCCUCUGAACAUUCAAUGAACAGGAAAACAAUAAAAUUACACCAAAACAGACUUUCAUUAUUCAGGCAGCUCUGGGGACGAGAUUCCACCCAGCACAUUUCAAUGAUCCCAGACAAUGGAUUACUAUCAUAAUUUGUUCUUAAAGUCUGCUUAAUUGGCUUACUUAGCCACCUGUUCAGAAGAGUUACCAGAAAACAGCAGUUUUGCUCCAUUUCUGAGCUCCAACCAUUCAUCAUUCCACCUCCUUCUCUUCCAGCUGCUAUAAAAUAUCAAGCAAUGUCUAGCACAGAUUUAAAAAUAAUCUCCUCAUUAUCCAAAAUGCAACAUAACCAACCAGGAGGGAGCUGCAAAGCUGCAACAACAACGUGCUGAUAGGGGCAUGUACUCAUUGGCUGUUCCUACUGGAACACUAGGAACACAGUAUUACACUCAUGCAUGUACAGUCAUGGUGUAAAAACAUAAAGACUGAUAUGCAUAUUCAAGAUAUGUAAAUAUAGAAUCAUAGAAUGGCCUGGGUUGCAAAGGACCACAGUGCUCAUCCAGUUCCAACCCCCUGCUGUGUGCAGGUCGCCAACCAGCAGCCCAGGCUGCCCAGAGCCACAUCCAGCCUGGCCUUGAAUGCCUGCAGGGAUGGGGCUUCCACAGCCUCCUUGGGCAACCUGUGCCAGUGCCUCACCAUCCUCUGGGUGAAAAACUCCCUCUUAAUAUCCAACCUAAACCUCCCCCGUCUCAGUUUAAAACCAUUCCCCCUUGUCCUCUCACUAUCCACCCUCAUAAAUAGUCAUUCGCCCUCCUGUUUAUAUGCUCCUUUCAAAUACUGGAAGGCCACAAAGCAAGCUUCCAGCUUAAUUGUAUGAAUCACUUUCACAUGAGGACAAACCAUAAAAACAGAGAAAAUUCAGCCGAGGCCUUUGAAAAUGUUGUGGGUUACUGUGACAAGCAGGAGUGAAGGGAGGCAGGGGCACCAGGUCCCACUGAGCUCUGUGUGCCAUGCUCACCGUGCACUGCAGCCACAAGGCUGCACCAGCUCACAUCCCUCUCACAGCAAACAAACGCUCCUGGCAGGGGCGAGCAAACACUGCCUCUGCUCACUGCUGAGAGCACAACGGCUGCGUAAUCUAAACAGACAGCAGCAUGUAAAAAUGUAAAUAUUUGCUAUUGGUUAAUACAGUCCUAAGUUACUGCUGGAGCCAGCUGCUUCGGUUUUUGUGCACAGGGACGUCUAUGUGCAACCCGCUCCUCGUGGAUUUCAGUAGAGAAAUAUUUUUAAGAAGCCAUUAUCUAAACUGCUGAUGUAAUAAGGCGCUGGUAUAUGAAAUACACUUAAUAACUCAACUUUAGUUAUUUAUUGUGAACGAGGGUGCAUUCUCCUUGAUUCCAUUUCCCAGCGAAAUAUAAGUGGAGCUUUCAUCAUGAGUGCUUGAAUUUAUGGCAAGCAGACCAAGUGACAUUAAGAAAGCCACACAAUCCCUUCAUUCAGGCUUUAAUAAGGAAGCCAAGGAAAAAUUAUCCAAGCUGGUUUGCGGGUGACAGCACAAGAACUUUUUGGAGUCAGAAAGUUAGCACGGAGGCUCCCUGUCAGCCCAUUAAAAAGCAAGGUUGGCAUUCCCCGAUAUUGGAACCAUGUGUGCAGAGGAAUUUUUCUUCUGGUAAGACAUUCCAAAUAUUGUCCCAGAGCCAAACACUUCGGUGUUAGACUAAUUUAAGCAGUAUGUUGGAAUCAGCUCUCAGGACUUUGAUCAUAUGGAGAUCGUUUGUUACAAAUUGAACUAACCCAGUCUCUAUUUCUGGUGGAUCAGAACUAUGGAUUUGUUGAAUUAAAUGCCUCAUUUAAUGCAGUUUGCACAUGAAAAGAAAGCUGCACUCAGGAAUCUGAUAGUGAAUUUUUCACCUAACCAACAGGUCUACUUUUUUAUUACUUUUAAACCUAAUCCAUACUCAGUCCACACUGUUCUUAAUAAGCCUGAGGCUGUUUAGAGUGAAGGUUUAAAUCAGCUCAUAUGUUAUGGGGGGAAAGCAUCACUGAAUUAUCAAACCGUGUAAUAAGGAACACAUUUGAAUCCAAUUCAAGAAAUAAUUUUAUGAAGAAAAAUAAAUUAGUCCUUGGUUGUUAUUUACCAUCCAAAUAGUGCAGUGCUCUUUCAUGACAACAGUGGAGGGAAAGCUGAAAAAUGAUUUUGCAGACAUAGGAUUUGUUUUCCUGCCUCUCACCGCUGUCCCCGUUCCUGCAGCUGAGCUAUUGUGAGGGUUAAAAGUGCACAAAAUAAAGCAUUUCCACAUAUGGCUGCACCUUCUUUCCAUUUCUUGAAGUUAUAAUGUCUUUAGCUGUUGAUAAUGAUAUUAUAAACUAUCAUUUAGUGAAUUCUGAGUAUAUUAAAUACAUGAAACAAAGAUGUGAGAUUCCAGCUGGACCUUGAUCAGAAAAGCCGAAAUGCGACUCACUGGGACUGCAGAGAGUGACGUGCAGGGCUCCCGAGGGAGGCUGCAAACAGGUCGCUGCUAUCACAAGAGAAGAAGACAAAAGAAGAAAAGUGGGAUGAAACACAAAACUGGAAAUUCAGAUGGCUGAGUACUUUGCAGGAGAGCGGUGCGUGCAAUCGUUGGUGCACUGCUACUCACUGGGCUGAGACAGUCAAGUGUGUCAUUGUUCUCUGCCUCGAGGAAUUCAGGAUUUACACUGUUUUCAACAGGUUUUCAUAUUCAGUCCCACGCAGUAUAACAGCAGGACUCUGUUAGGUCCCAGGAACCCUCCUUUCCUGGUCCUGCAGGCAGCGAAGAGGAACAACUCAGGUACGUGGAGGGGAUUUCUGGAGCCUGCCUUACUGCUGUGCUGGUGAAGCAGAGCAAUGCCAUUCCCUGGCACAAACAGGCUGUGUACACUCAGCCCUUGGUUACAGGCGCAUCUGGCCACUGCAGCUGGAAGUGGGACAAAGCUUGGGAAAAGGAUGAAGGAAAAUCAUGAACUCGUUGUCAGCCCAGAACAAGGCUCUCCCAAAUAAUCAGGACCUUUGUUGGGUCUUAGGUACAGGAGAAGGAAAUAGUGAUGUGCAAGCAGAAUGGCCAUACCCUGAGCCUGAGCAGGGCAUGUUCAGCCCCAGCCCCCGGGGCUCCAACCAUUUCCACCAGGGCAACACAGGGCCCAGGCCAACCAGCCUGAGACCAUGCUGGCCUCCACGGAGCCACCAAGAGCCCAUCAUCUCUCCUGUAAGCUCUGCCAGCACUGAGGCUGCCACAGCCAAUGCGGGACACGAGAAAGCAACAGGCAAGCAGCAGGAAAGUGUGUCUUGAGCCCCAAACCUACACCUGGGUGAAGGAUCUCCCUUGGGUUGUCCCUCCCCUCUCAUUACACAAAGGGAGCAGAGUUCAUUCUUCAUAAAGAGAAGAGAAACUGUACUUCUAAAUAAAUAAUAAUAAUAAAAACAAUAAAAAACA